rnacentral:rRNA from 1 species
CCUACGGGUGGCAGCAGUGGGGGAUAUUGCACAAUGGGGGGAACCCUGAUGCAGCGACGCCGCGUGGGUGAAGAAGCGCCUCGGCGCGUAAAGCCCUGUCAGCAGGGAAGAAAAUGACGGUACCUGAAGAAGAAGCCCCUGCUAACUACGUGCCAGCAGCCGCGGUAAUACGUAGGGGGCAAGCGUUAGCCGGAUGUAUUGGGUGUAAAGGGGGCGCAGAUGGCGAUGCAAGCCAGGGGUGAAAGCCCGGGGCACAACCCCGGGACGGCUCUUGAAACUGCUGGGCUGGAGUGCAGGAGGGGCAGGCGGAAGUCCUGGUGUAGCGGUGAAAUGCGUAGAUAUCAGGAGGAACACCAGUGGCGAAGGCGGCCAGCUGGACUGCAACUGACGUUGAGGCCCGAAAGCGUGGGGAGCAAACAGGAUUAGAUACCCUUGUAGUC